UGGGGAAUCUUGCACAAUGGGGGCAACCCUGAUGCAGCGACGCCGCGUGAGCGAUGAAGCCCUUCGGGGCGUAAAGCUCUUUCGACCGGAACGAUAAUGACGGUACCGGGAGAAGAAGCUGCGGCUAACUACGUGCCAGCAGCCGCGGUAAUACGUAGGCAGCAAGCGUUGUUCGGAGUUACUGGGCGUAAAGAGUGCGUAGGCGGUUUUCUAAGUUCGGUGUGAAAUCUCCCGGCUUAACUGGGAGGGUGCGCCGAGGACUGGGAAGCUGGAGUGUGGGAAAGGCAGGCGGAAUUCCUGGUGUAGCGGUGAAAUGCGUAGAUAUCAGGAGGAACACCGGCGGUGUAGACGGCUUGCUAGACCAUAACUGGCGCUGAGGCACGAAAGCGUGGGUAGCAAAC
rnacentral:rRNA from 1 species